CAAAGAGUAGUUUAGUUUAAAAUGCCAGCUUUGGGAGUUGGUGAUAGAGGUUUAAUUCCUUUCUCUUUGA
rnacentral:tRNA from 1 species